AAAGAUGAAAUAAAGAAAUUGAGAUAAAAACGAUCUCAGAAUUAAGAGAGCAGAAGUACAAAUAUAACAUGAUGAUGACUUUAAACGUAUAAUAAAAAAAAUACUUACUGACUUUUUUUUGUAUUUUGUGGCUUUUAUGUGUCAGUAUCUAUUAUUUAAAUUAUUAUUUCUCUGAAAGAUUAACCCUGUAAGUGUUUACUCGGGUUUAUUAUUUGCUUUUUGAUUUGCGAUCUUUUCCUGACCUGUACCUUUGGCUUUGUGUGUUUGUGUCUCUCUUUUUGAACCUUGAGUAAACUCUGCUGUUACAUACAUUGUAUUUACAUGGAGUAUUUCUGGAAGUGUGCGUGAUCCCGUUAGGUCCAACCCUCUUUCUGCUCUAUUUAAACCUGAGUAUUUGCUUCAGGUCAGAUAUUCUAAAAGAUCAGAAUAAUGGUAAGUCCACUUUUUAAUAGAUUACUGUAUAAUAUAUUGUUAUCUAACAUCUCAUAGGCUUCAUUAACAUUUUGUGCAAUGUACUAGGAUAAAUUAUCUCUUUAAAAUAAGCUUAUUGUUUUUAUACAAAUUGCCUGAAUGAGAGAUUUUCUGAUGUUUUUUUGUUUUUUUUUUACAAAAAUGGCUAAAUGAUAAAUCCUGAAAUCUAAAAAUCAUUGACAUUAAAUAUUAAAGAUUAAUCAACAAAAUUCUUUAAACAUGUUUUUUGCAUUGGGUUCAUGCACUGAAGAUAUUUGAAUUAUUUACAAGUUAUUUAUAUCAGUAAUUACUCAAAAGUAAAAAUAGUAACCUCAGGAACAUUUAUAUGUAACUUUAACUUUUUUGUUUUUACCUUUGUGCUUUUAUUUGUAAAAUGUUUUGCAGCUAUAUUGAUUUUUUAUUAUUCAAUAUUAGUUAAUAAUUUUAUUUGUUUUUUAUGUAUUAUUUAUUUAUUAUUAUUAUUAUUAUUAUUAUUAUUAUUAUUAUUAUUAUUAUUGUUAUUAUUAUUAUUUUAUAAAAUAAUGACAUAUAAUCCCAAUGAAGUCGUUACAAUUCCAGGUUGUAAGAGAAUAAAAUGUGGAAAUGUUUAAUGAGCGAGUAGUUAUGUGAGUGAAGACUCUAUGUUUGUAUCUUGUCUGUGAUCUUCUCUUUCUUUAUUUGUUUUUUUGGUUCCAAAGUCCAAGAUGAAGAGGUCUGUGUUUGUGGGUUUCGUCCUGCUUGCUCUCAUCCCAUUGAUUUAUGGUGACUGUUGGUAUCAACUGCCCCGUUAUGCUGCGACUCAUUGUCAAGAUGACCUGGAUAAGACGUGGCACCCAAUAGGAGCCGAAUGGUUAAACAGCAGGUGCACAAGAUGCACAUGUGCUCUGGAUGGGAUGCGUUGCUGUGACAAAUGGCCAACACGUGCGUCUGGAGGCUGCACCAUUAAAUAUGAUUAUAAAACCUGUACAUAUGAAGUGAUUCGUGUCGAUGAAAUUGUUUCCUGUCACUUUGUUGGAAAGUGAUUAUAACAACUGAAAGAUGAUCAUCACAGACUUAAGAGAGAAGAAGUACAAAUAUAACAUGAUGACUAAACCUAUAAUAAAAAAAUUACUUACUGACUUACUUUAGUGGCUUGAUGUGUCAGUAAAGCAGACUGGAGCGUCUGGUUUUAAUAAAGAAAAUCUUGUUUACUGUACAAUAUUUCCUUAGAAAAAUCUGAUCUGAAAUUUCUGAUUUUUUAUUUUUAUUUUUUUUUCUUUCAGAUUGCCAACAAGUGCGUCUGGAGGCUGCACCAUUAAAUAUGAUUAUGACGCCUGUACAUUUGAAUUGAAGGUUCUGGAUGAAAAUGUUCCCUGGUUCAAUAUGACGUCGGUCCACCCCUUGCAGCUAUAACAGCUUCAACUCUUCUGGGAAGGCUGUCCACAAGGUUUAGGAGUGUGUUUAUGGGAAUUUUUGACCAUUCUUCCAGAAGCGCAUUUGUGAGGUCACACACUGAUGUUGGACGAGAAGGCCUGGCU